AAUGAACGUUGGCGGCGUGGAUUAGGCAUGCAAGUCGCGCGAUAAGUCACCUUCGGGUGGCGGAAAGCGGCGAAAGGGAGAGUAACACGUGGGAACCUGCCCUCAGGCCCGGGAUAGCUGUGGGAAACUGCAGAUAAUACCGGAUGAUGUCUCCGGACCAAAGGUGUGAUUCCGCCGGAGGAGGGGCCCGCGUCCUAUCAGCUAGUUGGUGAGGUAAUGGCUCACCAAGGCUACGACGGGUACGGGGUGUGAGAGCAUGCCCCCGCUCACUGGGACUGAGACACUGCCCAGACACCUACGGGUGGCUGCAGUCGAGAAUCUUCCGCAAUGGGCGAAAGCCUGACGGAGCGACGCCGCGUGCGAGAUGAAGGCCUUCGGGUUGUAAAUCGCUGUCAGUGGGGAGCAAAUGCAUGGGGGUUCUCCCUCAUGUUUGAGCGAUCCGCAGAGGAAGCACAGGGCUAAGUUCGUGCCA
rnacentral:rRNA from 1 species